rnacentral:misc_RNA from 1 species
GAUGAAGAACGUAGUGAAAUGCGAUAAUUAAUGUGAAUUGCAGAAUUUAGUGAAUCAUCGAGUCUUUGAACGCACAUUGCGCCCCCUGGUAUUCCGGGGGGCAUGCCUGUCCGAGCGUCAUUGCUGCCCUCAAGCACGGCUUGUGUGUUGGGCCUCCGUCCUCCUCCCGGGGGACGGGCCCGAAAGGCAGCGGCGGCACCGCGUCCGGUCCUCGAGCGUAUGGGGCUUCGUCACCCGCUCUUGUAGGCCCGGCCGGCGCUUGCCGACACAUCAAUCUUUUUUCCAGGUUGACCUCGGAUCAGGUAGGGAUACCCGCUGAACUUAAGCAUAUCAAUAAGCGGAGGA